UCUUUUAGAUAUUGGGUAGGGGAGCGUUCUGUAAGCCGUUGAAGGUGAAUCGUAAGGUUUGCUGGAGGUAUCAGAAGUGCGAAUGCUGACAUGAGUAACGACAAAGGGGGUGAAAAACCUCCUCGCCGGAAGACCAAGGGUUCCUGUCCAACGUUAAUCGGGGCAGGGUGAGUCGACCCCUAAGGUGAGGCCGAAAGGCGUAAUCGAUGGGAAACGGGUUAAUAUUCCCGUACUUCUGACUAUUGCGAUGGGGGGACGGAGAAGGCUAGGUGGGCCAGGCGACGGUUGUCCUGGUUCAAGUGCGUAGGCUUGAGAGUUAGGUAAAUCCGGCUCUCUCUAAGGCUGAGACACGACGUCGAGCUACUACGGUAGUGAAGUCAUUGAUGCCAUGCUUCCAGGAAAAGCCUCUAAGCUUCAGAUAGUCAGGAAUCGUACCCCAAACCGACACAGGUGGUCGGGUAGAGAAUACCAAGGCGCUUGAGAGAACUCGGGUGAAGGAACUAGGCAAAAUGGUACCGUAACUUCGGGAGAAGGUACGCUCUUGAUGGUGAAGUCCCUCGCGGAUGGAGCUGACGAGAGUCGCAGAUACCAGGUGGCUGCAACUGUUUAUUAAAAACACAGCACUGUGCAAAAUCGCAAGAUGACGUAUACGGUGUGACGCCUGCCCGGUGCCGGAAGGUUAAUUGAUGGGGUUAGCGCAAGCGAAGCUCUUGAUCGAAGCCCCGGUAAACGGCGGCCGUAACUAUAACGGUCCUAAGGUAGCGAAAUUCCUUGUCGGGUAAGUUCCGACCUGCACGAAUGGCGUAAUGAUGGCCACGCUGUCUCCACCCGAGACUCAGUGAAAUUGAAAUCGCUGUGAAGAUGCAGUGUACCCGCGGCUAGACGGAAAGACCCCGUGAACCUUUACUACAGCUUGGCACUGAACAUUGAACCUACAUGUGUAGGAUAGGUGGGAGGCUAUGAAGACGUGACGCCAGUUGCGUUGGAGCCGUCCUUGAAAUACCACCCUUGUAUGUUUGAUGUUCUAACUUAGACCCAUUAUCUGGGUUGAGGACAGUGCCUGGUGGGUAGUUUGACUGGGGCGGUCUCCUCCCAAAGAGUAACGGAGGAGCACGAAGGUGGGCUAAUCACGGUUGGACAUCGUGAGGUUAGUGCAAUGGCAUAAGCCCGCUUAACUGCGAGAAUGACGGUUCGAGCAGGUGCGAAAGCAGGUCAUAGUGAUCCGGUGGUUCUGUAUGGAAGGGCCAUCGCUCAACGGAUAAAAGGUACUCCGGGGAUAACAGGCUGAUACCGCCCAAGAGUUCAUAUCGACGGCGGUGUUUGGCACCUCGAUGUCGGCUCAUCACAUCCUGGGGCUGAAGUCGGUCCCAAGGGUAUGGCUGUUCGCCAUUUAAAGUGGUACGCGAGCUGGGUUUAGAACGUCGUGAGACAGUUCGGUCCCUAUCUGCCGUGGGCGUUGGAAGAUUGAAGGGGGCUGCUCCUAGUACGAGAGGACCGGAGUGGACGAACCUCUGGUGUUCGGGUUGUGUCGCCAGACGCAUUGCCCGGUAGCUAAGUUCGGAAUUGAUAAGCGCUGAAAGCAUCUAAGCGCGAAGCGAGCCCUGAGAUGAGUCUUCCCUGACAGUUUAACUGUCCUAAAGGGUUGUUCGAGACUAGAACGUUGAUAGGCAGGGUGUGUAAGCGUUGUGAGGCGUUGAGCUAACCUGUACUAAUUGCCCGUGAGGCUUAACCAU
rnacentral:rRNA from 1 species